rnacentral:rRNA from 1 species
GAUGAACGCUGGCGGCGUGCCUAAUACAUGCAAGUCGAGCGAACAGACGAGGAGCUUGCUCCUCUGACUUUAGCGGCGGACGGGUGAGUAACACGUGGAUAACCUACCUAUAAGACUGGGAUAACUUCGGGAAACCGGAGCUAAUACCGGAUAAUAUAUUGAACCGCAUGGUUCAAUAGUGAAAGACGGUUUUGCUGUCACUUAUAGAUGGAUCCGCGCCGCAUUAGCUAGUUGGUAAGGUAACGGCUUACCAAGGCAACGAUGCGUAGCCGACCUGAGAGGGGGAUCGGCCACACUGGAACUGAGACACGGUCCAGACUCCUACGGGAGGCAGCAGUAGGGAAUCUUCCGCAAUGGGCGAAAGCCUGACGGAGCAACGCAGCGUGAGUGAUGAAGGUCUUCGGAUCGUAAAACUCUGUUAUUAGGGAAGAACAAAUGUGUAAGUAACUAUGCACGUAUUGACGGUACCUAAUCAGAAAGCCACGGCUAACUACGUG